GCAUAUGGUGUGCCUGCUGGUCCGGACCCCGCGCAACGGGGUCCGGGGCAAGAGGGAACCCGGUGCGAGUCCGGGACUGCCCCGCAGCGGUAUGCGGAAACGACCGCCGUCACACAGCACUGCGCGCCCCGGCGUGUGGGAAGCGACGGCCAGUAGGUGCCGUGGACGCCUCGAGCGAGAGCCCGGGACGGCCUCGGAGGGUCCGUGAGUCCGAAGACCUGCCAGCGACCGCGCACGCCG
rnacentral:ncRNA from 2 species